GUCUGAACUUCAUCCUAGCAAAAACAAAGUUGCAGGCACAACAGUUUAAGAAUGCAUUCCUCCAGAAAAGUAUCUGGUCAGGUUCACCCUGAGCCUUCUUUGGACUUAAUUUGGAACUUAGCCUAGAAAGCAAAAGUGGACUGUCCAACAGAAAGAUGUCAACAAGGAAAAGAGGAGAGCCAAGCGCUAGCAUGCCUUUUGCCUCUGCAUAUCUGUGCACACUGUAUGUUGUUCAUGAUAGCUUGUCUACAACUUGACUAGGUUGGAGUUCUGGUAAUAGUGGCAAUCUUGACAUUCUUGGUCAGAGUUUAGAGAGAUGUAAGAC
rnacentral:lncRNA from 1 species